rnacentral:ncRNA from 1 species
GAAAGCCGUGUGCGGGAAAACCGCACGCACGGUUUGAUGAGGGAGGAUUGGCGUGUUAACUAUGGUACGGCUAUUUAGGCACCGUCAGACGAAAGGGACGGAAACAGAUAAGCCAGCCUAAAGUAAUCAUUGCCAGUUCUCUACUCUAC